GACGAACGCUGGCGGCGUGCUUAACACAUGCAAGUCGAGCGGAGCGGCGAACGGGUGGGUAACGCGUGAGUAAUUGCCCCCCUCUCUGGGAAUACAGUUGGAAACGGGUGCUAAUAACGGAUAGUGGGGGAUGACUCGGGGCCUAUCAGCUUGUUGGUGGGGUAGUGGCUUACCAAGGCGAAGACCGGUAGCCGGCCUGGGAGGUCGACCGGCCACAUGGGGCUGAGAUACGGCCCAAAGUCCUAUGGGAGGCAGCAGGGGGGAAUAUUGCACAAGGAGGGAAAGCGUGAUGCAGAAACGCCGCGUGCGGGAUGACGGCCUUCGGGUUGUAAACCGCAUUCAGCCAUGACGCGGUAGUGGCAGAAGAAGCACCGGCUAACUACGUGCCAGCAGCCGCGGUAAUC
rnacentral:rRNA from 1 species